rnacentral:rRNA from 1 species
GACGAACGCUGGCGGCGUGCCUAAUACAUGCAAGUAGAACGCUGAAGCGAGGAGCUUGCUCUUCUUGGAUGAGUUGCGAACGGGUGAGUAACGCGUAGGUAACCUGCCUGGUAGCGGGGGAUAACUAUUGGAAACGAUAGCUAAUACCGCAUAAAAUGGAUUAUCGCAUGAUAAUCCAUUGAAAGGUGCAAAUGCAUCACUACCAGAUGGACCUGCGUUGUAUUAGCUAGUUGGUGGGGUAACGGCUCACCAAGGCGACGAUACAUAGCCGACCUGGGAGGGUGAUCGGCCACACUGGGACUGAGACACGGCCCAGACUCCUACGGGAGGCAGCAGUAGGGAAUCUUCGGCAAUGGACGGAAGUCUGACCGAGCAACGCCGCGUGAGUGAAGAAGGUUUUCGGAUCGUAAAGCUCUGUUGUAAGAGAAGAACGAGUGUGAGAGUGGAAAGUUCACACUGUGACGGUAUCUUACCAGAAAGGGACGGCUAACUACGUG